GUGGCCACACCCGUGCGCGCGCUGAUCCGUCGGGGCUAAAAGCGAAUGAGGAGAGAAACUGAAAGGCGAAAAGUGCUGCAGUUAACACUAAGUGGCCGGGCCUACUACAGUAAGUAGAUUUACAGAAGUGGCAAUGGAGGACUCGAGCGUGACGGGGACGGACCAGUCAAUACCUCGGGAUUGAUGUAGUGAUGGUGAUCUAAGGCACCACAACAAAGAACAGUGGAAUUGUAAAACUCCAACAAACUUUGUUGACACGAUUACUACUUUCCUAUUAGCCAGGGCUUUGGCACCAUCUCAUGGCAUCUUAGGACGUUUUGGAAAGAGGACAAAAACUGAACAGAUAUCUGCCACGCUAACAAAUGAAGCCGAAGCUCAACAUAUUGCUAAUAUUGGGAGGAAGAGGACACUGUGAAAUGUCUCUGAAGCUGCCACCAACCAUUCAAUGCCAAGAUGCUGUAAAUAUUGAAAGCCCAGGUCAGAUCAUAAAUCUAAAAAAAGGCCAAAAUGUGGAAGUGGGUGGGCUGUGAGGUGGCAGUAGGUGGAUAACAAAAGACAAAAACUAUUAGCUUGAUCAAUGAUUCUGCGUCACCACUUGAGUCUGGAAGUGCUGAUGUUGCCACCCUGCAGAAGGAAAAGUGUCCAACUCCACAAAAAAAACAAAAAAAAAUUUAAAAAUAGUUUUUUUUAAAAGUGCAUUCUCUUUAACUGGCGCUCUCGCCUAAAGAAUUCUUGGAAAAGGAUUUAAAAAAAUAAAUAAAUAAAUUUG